rnacentral:rRNA from 1 species
AUUGAACGCUGGCGGCAGGCUUAACACAUGCAAGUCGAGCGGUAGAGGGGAGCUUGCUUCCCUUGAGAGCGGCGGACGGGUGAGUAAUGCCUAGGAAUCUGCCUGGUAGUGGGGGACCACGUUCGGAAACGGACGCUACUACCGCAUACGUCCUACGGGAGAAAGUGGGGGAUCUUCUGACCUCACGCUUUCAGACGAGACUAGGUCGGAUUAGCUAGUUGGUAGGGUAAAGGCCUACCAAGGCGACGCUCCGUAACUGGUCUGAGAGGAUGAUCAGUCACACUGGAACUGAGACACGGUCCAGACUCCUACGGGAGGCAGCAGUGGGGAAUAUUGGACAAUGGGCGCAAGCCUGAUCCAGCCAUGCCGCGUGUGUGAAGAAGGUCUUCGGAUUGUAAAGCACUUUAAGUUGGGAGGAAGUUCAGUAAGUUAAUACCUUGUUGAAUUGACGUUACCGACAGAAUAAGCACCGGCUAACUCUGUGCCAGCCGCCGCGGUAAAAC